rnacentral:rRNA from 1 species
AUUGAACGCUGGCGGAAUGCUUUACACAUGCAAGUCGAACGGUAGAGGGGCAACCCCUCGAGAGUGGCGAACGGGUGAGUAAUGUAUCGGAACGUGCCCAGUCGUGGGGGAUAACGUAGCGAAAGUUACGCUAAUACCGCAUACGAUCUAAGGAUGAAAGCGGGGGAUCGCAAGACCUCGCGCGAUUGGAGCGGCCGAUAUCAGAUUAGGUAGUUGGUGGGGUAAAGGCUCACCAAGCCAACGAACUGUAGCUGGUCUGAGAGGACGACCAGCCACACUGGAACUGAGACACGGUCCAGACUCCUACGGGAGGCAGCAGUGGGGAAUUUUGGACAAUGGACGCAAGUCUGAUCCAGCCAUUCCGCGUGCAGGAUGAAGGCCCUCGGGUUGUAAACUGCUUUUGUACGGAACGAAAAGGUCUCUCUUAAUACGGGGGGCUCAUGACGGUACCGUAAGAAUAAGCACCGGCUAACUACGUGCCAGCCGCCGCAGUAA